rnacentral:rRNA from 1 species
UACGGAGGGAGCUAGCGUUGUUCGGAAUUACUGGGCGUAAAGCGCGCGUAGGCGGCUUUGUAAGUUAGAGGUGAAAGCCCGGAGCUCAACUCCGGAACUGCCUUUAAAACUGCAUCGCUUGAAUCCAGGAGAGGUGAGUGGAAUUCCGAGUGUAGAGGUGAAAUUCGUAGAUAUUCGGAAGAACACCAGUGGCGAAAGCGGCUCACUGGACUGGUAUUGACGCUGAGGUGCGAAAGCGUGGGGAGCAAACAGG